GAGUGAACGCUGGCGGCGUGCUUAACACAUGCAAGUCGAACGGAUGAAAUAAGCUUGCUUAUUUCGUUAGUGGCGCACGGGUGAGGUAAUGUAUAGCUAACCUGCCCUUUAGUGGGGGACAACAGUUGGAAACGACUGCUAAUACCCCAUAUUCCUUCUUAUCAUAAGGUGAGUUGGGAAAGAUUUAUUGCUAAAGGAUGGGGCUUUAUGGUAUCAGCUAGUUGGUGGGGUAACGGCCUACCAAGGCUAUGACGCCUACCUGGGUCUGAGAGGAUGAUCAGGCACACUGGAACUGAGACACGGUCCAGACUCCUACGGGAGGCAGCAGUGGGGAAUAUUGCACAAUGGAGGAAACUCUGAUGCAGCAACGCCGCGUGGAGGAUGACGCAUUUCGGUGUGUAAACUCCUUUUAUAAGGGAAGAUAAUGACGGUACCUUAUGAAUAAGCACCGGCUAACUCCGUG
rnacentral:rRNA from 1 species